UGGAAGACCACCACGUCGAUAGGCCGGGUGUGGAAGCGCAGCAAUGUGUGAAGCUUACCGGUACUAAUAGCUCGAUUGGCUUGAUCGUUCUCAUU
rnacentral:rRNA from 1 species